GGUAAAAUCCGUAGAUAUCACCAAGAAUACCCAUUGCGAAGGCGAUCUGCUGGAACUCAACUGACGCUAAGGCGCGAAAGCGUGGGGAGCAAACAGGAUUAGAUACCCUGGUAGUCCACGCCCUAAACGAUGUAUGCUAGUUGUUGGGGUGCUAGUCAUCUCAGUAAUGCAGCUAACGCAUUAAGCAUACCGCCUGGGGAGUACGGUCGCAAGAUUAAAACUCAAAGGAAUAGACGGGGACCCGCACAAGCGGUGGAGCAUGUGGUUUAAUUCGAAGAUACGCGAAGAACCUUACCUAGGCUUGAUAUCCAACAAAUUCUGUAGAGAUACGGAAGUGCUAGCUUGCUAGAAUGUUGAGACAGGUGCUGCACGGCUGUCGUCAGCUCGUGUCGUGAGAUGUUGGGUUAAGUCCCGCAACGAGCGCAACCCUCGUCCUUAGUUGCUAACGAUUCGGUCGAGCACUCUAAGGAGACUGCCUUCGUAAGGAGGAGGAAGGUGGGGACGACGUCAAGUCAUCAUGGCCCUUACGCCUAGGGCGACACACGUGCUACAAUGGCAUAUACAAUGAGACGCAAUACCGCGAGGUGGAGCAAAUCUAUAAAAUAUGUCCCAGUUCGGAUUGUUCUCUGCAACUCGAGAGCAUGAAGCCGGAAUCGCUAGUAAUCGCAAAUCAGCCAUGUUGCGGUGAAUACGUUCCCGGGUCUUGUACUCACCGCCCGUCACACCAUGGGAGUUGAUUUCACUCGAAGUGGAAAUACUAAACUAGUUAUCCCCCACAGUGGAAUCAGCGACUGGGGUGAAGUCGUAACAAGGUAACCGUAGGAGAACCUGCGGUUGGAUCACCUCCUUUCUA
rnacentral:rRNA from 1 species